AUUGAACGCUGGCGGCAGGCCUAACACAUGCAAGUCGAACGAGUGGCGGACGGGUGAGUAAUGUCUGGGAAACUGCCUGAUGGAGGGGGAUAACUACUGGAAACGGUAGCGAAUACCGCAUACCAUCGGAUGUGCCAAGAGGGGAUUAGCUAGUAGGGGGGGUAAAGGAUCAACUGGGCGACGAUCCCUAGCUGGCCUGAGAGGAUGAACAUCCACACUGGAACUGCGACACGGUCCAGACUCCUACGGUAGGCAGCAGUGGGGAAGAUUGCACAAUGGGAGCAAGCCUGAUGCAGCCAUGCCGCGUGUAUGAAGAAGGCCUUCGGGUUGUAGAGUACUUUCAGCGGGGAGGCGUUACCCUCAGAAGAAGCACCGGCUAACUCCGUGCCAGCAGCCGCGGUAAUUC
rnacentral:rRNA from 1 species